GAUGAACGCUGGCGGCGUGCCUAAUACAUGCAAGUCGAGCGAACAGAUAAGGAGCUUGCUCCCUUGACGUUAGCGGCUGACGGGUGAGUAACACGUGGGUAACCUACCUAUAAGACUGGAAUAACUCCGGGAAACCGGGGCUAAUGCCGGAUAACAUUUAGAACCGCAUGGUUCUAAAGUGAAAGAUGGUUUUGCUAUCACUUAUAGAUGGACCCGCGCCGUAUUAGCUAGUUGGUAAGGUAACGGCUUACCAAGGCAACGAUACGUAGCCGACCUGAGAGGGUGAUCGGCCACACUGGAACUGAGACACGGUCCAGACUCCUACGGGAGGCAGCAGUAGGGAAUCUUCCGCAAUGGGCGAAAGCCUGACGGAGCAACGCCGCGUGAGUGAUGAAGGUCUUCGGAUCGUAAAACUCUGUUAUUAGGGAAGAACAAAUGUGUAAGUAACUGUGCACGUCUUGACGGUACCUAAUCAGAAAGCCACGGCUAACUACGUG
rnacentral:rRNA from 1 species